AAUCGGUCAUCGCGAGGCGGGGCCAUGGCGCUGUGUCUCUGUGGAGGUUUCCGCUAAAAUCCUUUCAGUGAGGCUGAGAAAACAGUAUCGGUGUGAGCCAAAAACUGUUAACGUGCAGAUAUACUGAGGAGAAAGUCACGCACGUUUGGCCCGGGGAAGGACGGAGUGGGUGAGGUGCCGAAGAAUGGAGGUUGCCUAACGUGGUGCCACUGUUUAAGGGUGGUAAGGACAAGCCAGGGAACUAUAGACCAGUGAGCCUGACAUCGGUGGUUGGAACUGUCAGGAUAGUGAAGUGAUGGAUGGCUCAUACCAACUCCUCCGUCUUUCUCACAGUGAGCUGGAUCAGCCCUGUUGCUGCACAUCGGAUCAUAUCGGGAGGCAGCCUUGUCAUGUUCCAACCUGAUGCAAGGUUACAGCCCUCGGUUUUGGAGCAGUUGAAGAGACCUUUGCAUGUUUAUCACUCGAUCUCAUAUCGUUCACAAGUGGUAGCUGGAAUGAAUUACUUCAUCAAGGUUGUGAUUGGGGAUGUUGAUGAUGACAUACACGUGCGGAUGUUUCAGCCAUUGUCCUGUUCUGAUGAGAAACCCUCACUGUCAGAUAUCUAAACAGACAAGAAGCUGUUUGAUAAGAUUGAGUACUUCUAAGAGAGACCCAGAGCAUUGUUUGUAUCUCUCUCUCUCUCUUCACCAUCAAAUGCUGUUUGUAAAGAAAUUCCCUGCCUUUUCCCUCCCUCUCGAUCCUGACCACUGGGCUCUCCCUGUCUCCCUGCUGCCUCUGUCCCUAAUAGUCUGGAGUGCUUGAUGAAGCCAGCGAACCCUAACCACCUCCAGGCUGAUUAUUAACUGGGCAACCAAUGCUGGGCCAUGCUUCAAUGCUAUUGCACCAUGGGAUUGAUGAUUCCAAAUCAAAACCUCCCCUAUUCCCUCUUUACGUCAACCACUUCCAGCUUGGAAACGCUUCAGGCCGUGCUCAGGGAAUGGUGUGACAGGACAUCUGAACAGCUGCUGUGACGUUGCAAGCUGACCUUGGAAUCCCCCCCACGCCCAGUAACUGAGCUGUUCCACUGGAAUCACAUCGCACAGCAUUCAAUAAAAGCAUUC